UACGUAGGGGGCAAGCGUUGUCCGGAUUUAUUGGGCGUAAAGAGCGUGUAGGCGGCCUGAAAGGUCAGCUGUGAAAACUCGAGGCUCAACCUCGAGACGUCGGUUGAAACCAUCUGGCUAGAGUCCGGAAGAGGAGUGUGGAAUUCCCGGUGUAGCGGUGAAAUGCGCAGAUAUCGGGAGGAACACCAGUGGCGAAGGCGGCCUUCUGGACCAGUACUGACGCUCAUGCACGAAAGCGUGGGGAGCAAACAGG
rnacentral:rRNA from 1 species